rnacentral:rRNA from 1 species
GUACGGGAGGCAGCAGUGGGGAAUAUUGCACAAUGGGGGAAACCCUGAUGCAGCGACGCCGCGUGCGGGAUGAAGGCCUUCGGGUUGUAAACCGCUUUCAGCAGGGGCGAAUUCAGACGGUACCUGCAGAAGAAGCGCCGGCUAACUACGUGCCAGCAGCCGCGGUAAUACGUAGGGCGCAAGCGUUGUCCGGAAUUAUUGGGCGUAAAGAGCUCGUAGGCGGCCUGUUGCGUCCGCUGUGAAAACCCGGGGCUUAACCCCGGGCCUGCAGUGGAUACGGGCAGGCUGGAGGCAGGCAGGGGAGAACGGAAUUCCCGGUGUAGCGGUGAAAUGCGCAGAUAUCGGGAGGAACACCGGUGGCGAAGGCGGUUCUCUGGGCCUGUACUGACGCUGAGGAGCGAAAGCGUGGGGAGCGAACAGGAUUAGAUACCCUGGUAGUCCU